rnacentral:lncRNA from 1 species
GGUGGCUUCAAGUGUCGUGGGUUCUGGUAAGACACCAUUGGACCAAUGUGAAGUAUCUUCUUGAUCUCAUAGUGAUGGAGGUAGAUCUCUCUCUCUCUCCAAAGUUGAGCUGUGGCAGCGGCUCUUCCUCUAGCGUCAAUCUAUUAUUGUCAAAAUUGAAACUGAGGUUUAGGCCAGUCGGGAAGCUGGUGGUGGAGGUGAAGAACUCCUUGG